GGUAGAGUGGCUCAUGUGGUAAAGUGCUUGCUUAGCAAGCGUGAGACCCUGAGUUCAAACCCCAGCACCACCA
rnacentral:tRNA from 1 species